GUUAUUGUCUCUGAGCCUUGGCUUGCUCACCUGUAAAAUAAAUCAAUGGAUCCCAGUAUUGUUUCUGUAAAAAUCUGAUGACAUCAUCCAUUUAGAGCAUCUCUGGCUCCCUGUAAACACGAGGCAGCCAGGAUUCACCAGUUGCCACAGUAAGCACUAUGAGCUAUGAUAAUAUGAUAGGACUCUGUGGUUGCCUAAUCCUCCUUUCUCUCUCUCUCUCUCUCUCUCUCUCUCUCUCUCUCUCUCUCUCUCUCUCUUAUGUGUAGGGGGGGGCAGGCCAGGAAAGACUUCCUAGAAGCAAUCUUGGUGUUGUAUCUUAAAGGAGUAUCAGAAGGUCAAAGGCAGUGCUUUGAGAACAGAAAGAAAAGGAGCCCUGAACACAAGCUCUCAGGCCCGCUGGCUCCAGGCCCCGAGCUGCCGCCUUGCAGGAUCUGCUGUGCCCCAGCUCAUUCUCUGUGGUGCAGGCUGCAGUUUCCUCCUCUCACUGCUCUGCCCACUCCAGUUUCCGGCCUCCACUUCCUUCCCCUUUACAGACCACACAGGCCUUUCAGAGGAAGCCACUUCUUAUUUUAGCUGAGUCCCUGGACAACCCCACCCACAGGUGCCCUGCCCCCUGGGGUCCUUAAGAGGCCUGAGACAUGCUUCAACCAUACCCCAAAGCAGGCUGUGGAUAGACGCUGCAAUGCAUGGAGCCACACCAGUGGUAGUUAUUCUGGAAAGUGAAAUCUGGAAGAUGGCAUCUGACUAAGGAGCCCCAGGUCCCAUGGGUCAGCUGGCAGAGUCCAGAGCUUGUUUCCACUGCUCUCUCCUCAUGACCUGAGUGGUCUUUGGCCUCUCACUCUGGCCCCCAGACUUACAGCCAAGACUUUCCCUGGAAAACCCCAAGCAUCGUCACCUUCUUCCUCCUGAUUCUGUGGGGGGGAGACAGAAUUAGAGCUUGCCUCACGGUACGAAGUUGUGGCCACAGCUGCAGAAGAAUGACUUUCAACUUCUAGGAAUCGACCCUGACUAUCAGAUAGGGCAAGGGUUGAGUCACUGGCAGAGGCCACAUUAGUGGAGAUUUUGAUCAGGUGUUUGCGUGUGUGUGAGUGUGUGUGUGUGUGUGUGUGUGUGUGUGUGUGUAUGCGCGCACACGCGUGCUCGUGCCUCUGGUUCUACUUCCUCCUUGGGAGGCCCAGACCCUUCAGUGCUGUUUCUGUGCUGAGAUGGGAAGGGAGCACUCACCCCGCAGGUCCCAAUCCAGGCCAACUGGGAUGUGCUAAAUUAGGUCCUAAAAAAUCACAGCUGUGAGAACACGGAAUUUUGCUUUACAGAUGAUAAAAGUAUUCAGAGAAAUCAAGAGACUUGUCUUAUUCUCCUUAAAAAAUAGUUGGGCCUUAAGCUCAGGGCUCCCAAAAGAUCACCACACGACCCCCAAUAAAUGCUCUUUCCUAAGUCUGGAGUCUCGGCCACUGUCCUGAGGCUCAAAUGAUCAUAGAUAAAAGGGGGGAGGGCACAGUUGGAACUGAAGUCAAAACCCAUGUUUGAGCAGGUCCUGCCGGAUGUAGUGGUCAUUCUUUGUGCUUCUGGAUGGCUUUCACCAUCUCUUUUCUAAGACCCAACUCCUCUGUGUGAACCGCUGGGGUCCAUAUCUGUCUCCUCUCUCUGAUCUCUUGAUAACAGUUUGUUAGACUGGAAAUGGCCAUCUGUGCCAAUUCAGCUUCCGUCUCCUGUGCCCUGGGCAUUGGGAUACAAAGGGGCUGGGCUGCCUUCCUGGCUGAGUAUUUAAAGUGAGACCUAGGGCUUGGCCAGAUUAAAAUGGGACAGCAGAACGAAGUCCAGGUCACAGAGAGGAUGAAGUAGGCUUAUAAGGGGAAGGGGAAGGGUGAGAGACCAUGGCAUAGGCAACCAUGGAGGAGAGGAAGAGAGCUUAGGAAAGAGAGACAGGAAGAUAGGAUAAGGAACAGACAAACAAGCAGGCAGGUGUGUAUUCCUGAACUAGGGAAAGAUGAAGAGGAGAUCAAGGUAUAGGGGCAGAGAAGAAAUAAAAUAAGGAGGGAGGGAUAGACAAAGAGACAAACACCAUUAGUCUUUACUAGCCAAUGACCCCUAAAUCAGCAACAGCGACAGACUCUGGAUUGAAUAUUUGAAAAAGAAAAUCCCCCAUCUGUAGUGUACAUAUUCAACUUCUUUCUCUCCGUCAUUUUGUUUGUUUUGUUUCUGAGACAGGGCUUAUCUGUAUAGCCCUGGCUAUCCUGAAACUCACUGUGUAGACCAGGCUGGCCUUGAACUCACAGAGAUUUUACCUGCUUCUGCCUCCCAAGUGUUGGAAUUAAAGACAUGUGCCACCAUG